ACUGCGUUUGUGUGUGUGUUUGUGUCUGUGUUGCCAGCUAUUUUUAUCCGCCUCAAGUUGAGCCAGGGGCUGCCCGUGUUCCCUGCCUAUGAAUUCUUCUGCGACUGGGACUCCGAGUGCGACUGCUGGCUGUGCCAGUUCUGGCUCUUGUUUUCGCUUUCCACCAACUGAACUGCCUGCCGUUGGCCACUGUUGCUUCCAACGCACUUCAAGCUGCCGCGACGCUGACCUACUGAGCGUUAUUAGCCGGCUCACGGCUCGAGUUGCUUGGCCUGCGCGGCUGCCCCUGCUAGCCAAAUGGCGAUGGCGAUGGCGACUUGGCGUUGACGUUAGCUUCCCUUGGCUCAGUCAAGCGUUGAAAAUCGAUAAACAAAAAAAAAAUAAAGCGGCGGCGAAGAAGCAGGAAAGGAAGGAAAACUGCACUACAAUCUGUGUAGUGCAUUUAUUUAGCCUGGCUAAAGUCUCUCAAACUGUGAGGCCAAACAGGCGAAGAGGCAAACCACGAAACAUAAACAUCCAACAAACUGAA